rnacentral:rRNA from 1 species
AGUGAACGCUGGCGGUAGGCCUAACACACGCAAGUCGAACGGCAGCACAGUAAGAGCUUGCUCUUACGGGUGGCGAGUGGCGGACGGGUGAGGAAUACAUCGGAAUCUACUUUUUCGUGGGGGAUAACGUAGGGAAACUUACGCUAAUACCGCAUACGACCUACGGGUGAAAGCAGGGGAUCUUCGGACCUUGCGCGAUUGAAUGAGCCGAUGUCGGAUUAGCUAGUUGGCGGGGUAAAGGCCCACCAAGGCGACGAUCCGUAGCUGGUCUGAGAGGAUGAUCAGCCACACUGGAACUGAGACACGGUCCAGACUCCUACGGGAGGCAGCAGUGGGGAAUAUUGGACAAUGGGCGCAAGCCUGAUCCAGCCAUACCGCGUGGGUGAAGAAGGCCUUCGGGUUGUAAAGCCCUUUUGUUGGGGAAGAAAAGCAGCAGGUUAAUACCCCGCUGUUCUGACGGUACCCAAAGAAUAAGCACCGGCUAACUUCGUG